rnacentral:rRNA from 1 species
UACGGGAGGCAGCAGUGGGGAAUAUUGCACAAUGGGCGCAAGCCUGAUGCAGCCAUGCCGCGUGUAUGAAGAAGGCCUUCGGGUUGUAAAGUACUUUCAGUCGUGAGGAAGGUGUUAAGGUUAAUAACCUUAGCAAUUGACGUUAGCGACAGAAGAAGCACCGGCUAACUCCGUGCCAGCAGCCGCGGUAAUACGGAGGGUGCGAGCGUUAAUCGGAAUUACUGGGCGUAAAGGGCACGCAGGCGGUUAAUUAAGUUGGAUGUGAAAUCCCCGGGCUUAACCUGGGAAUGGCAUUCAAGACUGGUUAGCUAGAGUCUUGUAGAGGGGGUAGAAUUCCAUGUGUAGCGGUGAAAUGCGUAGAGAUGUGGAGGAAUACCGGUGGCGAAGGCGGCCCCUGGGACAAAGACUGACGCUCAUAUGCGAAAGCGUGGGGAGCGAAACAGGAUUAGAUACC